UACGAAGGGGGCUAGCGUUGUUCGGAAUUACUGGGCGUAAAGCGCACGUAGGCGGACAUUUAAGUCAGGGGUGAAAUCCCGGGGCUCAACCCCGGAACUGCCUUUGAUACUGGGUGUCUAGAGUCCGAGAGAGGUGAGUGGAAUUCCGAGUGUAGAGGUGAAAUUCGUAGAUAUUCGGAGGAACACCAGUGGCGAAGGCGGCUCACUGGCUCGGUACUGACGCUGAGGUGCGAAAGCGUGGGGAGCAAACAGG
rnacentral:rRNA from 1 species